rnacentral:rRNA from 1 species
UACGAAGGGGGGCGAGCGUUGUUCGGAUUUACUGGGCGUAAAGGGCGCGCAGGCGGCUCAUUUUGUCAGGCGUGAAAGCCCCGGGCUUAACCUGGGAACUGCGUUUGAUACGGAUGGGCUAGAGUUCGGGAGAGGAGAGUGGAAUUCCCAGUGUAGAGGUGAAAUUCGUAGAUAUCGGGAGGAACACCUAUGGCGAAGGCAGCUCGCUGGGACGUUACUGACGCUGAGACGCGAAAGCGUGGGGAGCAAACAGG